UUAGAAAUAACAAAACCAAUUUGCAUAAUGACUCGACACUCUAAGAUUGUCGUGAAGAAGACAUACAUAAUUGAGAACCAUAUGAAAACCCAUGAGCUGUGAGAUUGGCAUAUUGUGGAAAAUGUUCGCAGCUCUGUGUGUAUGCUACAGUCAAAUACCACCAGAUUGAACACCAAGCUAUAGUCAUUGAGGCAACAGGUACUAGAAGACAGAUGCAGACAAGGACGAAGCAGCAAUACAAAGGCAACCUCAAGGCUAGUCCAACCAUACCAAUCAUUAAAUCAUUGUAUUUUUUCCAAUGCAGGUACUAGAAGGCAGACACAGACAAGGACGAAGCAGCAAUACAAAGGCAACCUCAAGGCUAGUCCAACCAUACCAGUCAUUUAGGCAAUGACUGGUUGACUUGGAGUGACUUGCAAGGUGAUUUGGAGUGAUUUUUGAGUGAUUCCAAGUGGAUUUGAAGGGGAUUUUCAAGAAAAAUCAGAUUCCCAGUUUUGGAAGAAUUAUCAUAACUUUCAUUUGAACCGUUGGAUCUUUCUAUAAACCGGAGGAUAAGUCUAUAACAAUGAUAUCAAGAGACUGAUUGGAGAGAUUGGCUUCAUUAUAAGACGGAUGUUCAGGGAAAGGCACCUGCAUUACCCGAUGACAAUACAAUGACAGACUCACUAUCAUGUGGUGAUGACAUCGCAUAUUCCACAGACCCUGUCGCAAUGAUGAGAAAGAUAAAAAAAAAAGUUAAUAGAGAAAUUAUUGCUCUGGCAUACCAAGUCCUUCAAAUUGAUGCAAUAAAAGAGAGGUUGCAACAAUUGAUGUAGAGAGCACAAAAAUUGCAAGAAAUAUUGCAUCCUCGUCAAGCUGGUGGCCAUGAUUAGGGUACUCCAGGUAGUUUAGGUGAUGUCCAUGUUCCUGUGCAAACGUCGCCUCAUCAGAUCCCAUCAUCUCCACCUAUAUUGCCAACUUCAAUGUCGCCAACACAUAGCAUGCAGACAUCCAAUAGUGCACAUCAUAUUGACUCCAGAGUUGCAAGACAUGUACAUGAGGAUGCAAAGGCUACUAGUGGUGAGACCAUAGCAGCAUUUCCUGGAUCUUCCCGUAUUGCUAGUACGGGAACGUUGCCGGUCACAUUUGUGGUGACCAAAUAUUUGCUUCCCAUAAAGAUAGAGAAGGAAAUGAUAUUUUUUAUAAAAAAUAUUAAUGAAAUUACAUUGGAGAUCUUCGUGCCCACCAUACAUAAAUGAUGGAAUGAACAAGAAAAAAAGUUAAAAGACGAGCUCAUAAACCGUUUGGUUGGGUUGUUCGGAAAUGACACAUUCGAGAAAAGCAAGGUCUUUGACCAAGCUGGAAAACAUCUAAAGUAUGUGAUGGACCAAUAUAGGACACAUUUAGAGAAGAACAAAAAGUAAGAGCGUCCCCCAUGAUUCCAGAGAGGGAGUGAAAGGACCCGAUUUUGGAUGCAAAGGAGUUGAAAGGAAAAAAUGGAAUACACCACCAGGCAGAAGAAGACUGCUCGACACAUCAAAGGCAACUAAGGAAAUACUAGAAAAGCACGGGCAACACAAACUCGGCUCUAGUGGUUAUAUGAAAGUUGCCGCACGAAUUGGCUCUGAAUUCAAUAGAGUGCCCACAAAAGAUGACAUGAAAAUUGCCUUCUAGGAGGGCUAUAGAAUUGUGGCUAAAUGUCUAAAAGGAUUGAGUGGGCAAACAGAUGAAUCCAGUGCAUCCAUCAAUCAUGUAAAUAAGCCUGCACAGGGUAAAACACAACCUGCACAUGAUGAAGGUCGUUGUGUGCAUCCCAGUAUUGGAGAGAAUGUAGACCAUGGUGAGCAAGUUGAGCAUGAUCCAUGUAGACAACAUCAGGAACGUGAUGCGGCCCCAAUAGUCCAGAGGACUUAGAGGGUGUUCAAGAUGUUGAGGAUGAGGCUAGACAAAAUGAUCAGGAAGAUGAUGUGGCCCCAUCAGACCCCCCUUUGCAUACGCAUCCUCAUCGUGAGUAAAGGACUAGACAUAUAUUAGCUAGAUCACUAGAAGAGGGCAGAAGAAUUGAAGAGGGGACAAAUGAUUAAGACAACGAUCGUCCACUUAGUCUUUACCUCCAAGCUUCAAAAAGAAAGAAAAAUAAAAUGAUUGUGAUCUAAUUAUA